rnacentral:rRNA from 1 species
GACGAACGCUGGCGGCGGGCUUAACACAUGCAAGUCGAACGGGAAGGCCCUGCUUUGCGGGGGUGCGCGAGGGGCGAACGGGGGAGUUACACGUGUGUAACCUGCCCUUGCGGUUGGGAGAACUUCAUAAAACUGGGGCUAAUACGGGGUAGGAUCUCCCGCUGCAGGGUGGGGGUGGGAAGGUUUCGGCGGUUGGGGGUGGACUCGCGGCUUAUCCGCUUGUUGGUGGGGUGGUGGAUUAGCAAGGCUUGGACGGGUAGCCGGCCUGAGAGGGUCACCGGCCCCAUUGGGACUGAGCUGCGGCACAGCCUCGUACGGGAGGCAGCAGUGGAGUAUAUUGCACAAUGGGCGGAAGCCUGCUGUAGCCACGCCGCGUGCGGGAUGACGGCCUUCGGGUUGUGAACCGCAUUCGCCUGUGACGAGGCGUGAGUGACGGUAAUGGGAGAAGAAGCACCGGCUAACUACGUG